UCGACUGUCAUAAAAUUAGUAUAAAGAACACGUUAACAUUAUAAGUCGUUUAAUACAACGCAAUUUUUAAAAUGUUAACAAAUAAGUUUUUUAUAAUCCUCUUUAUGUUAGUCACGAUCAUGACACAGAGGUAUCAAGGCAUACAAGCUACAUUCACUGGAAACGAUCCAUUUACUAAUGUGAAGUCUGAUAAUGAAGCAGAUGCAAUAAAUCGUAAUGCGAAUGAUAUUAGGUUGCGUAAUGGAGGACAAAGUGGAGGUUACGUGAACGGUUAUUAAUAAUUUCAAAAAAGUUUAUAUGAAUCACAUACUGAUAAAUAAUUAAAACUUAACUAUUUUACUAUACCGAGGGCAUGCUUCACAAUAUAUUAGGAAAUUAGCAUUUCUUUAUAUACCUAAAUAUCUAUUUACUUUAUCACAAUGGUUUAAAAAUCACAUUUGAGAAGUAGAAAUAAUAUAACAAAAUGUAAUUAUCGCUGUACAUCAAUAAAUAAUAUUUUACUGUGAUGUAUCAUCACCACAAAUAAGGAAACAAGUAUGAAAACUGAUCAAAGCAUCCCUUUUAUUAGUAAUUAUAAAAAUAUAUUAUGCAUUCGAAUA